rnacentral:tRNA from 1 species
AAGACACUAGUAAAAUGAAUAUUACACUGCCUUGUCGAGGCAGAAUUGUAGGUUAAACCCCUGCGUGACUUG